rnacentral:rRNA from 1 species
UACGUAGGCAGCAAGCGUUGUUCGGAAUUACUGGGCGUAAAGAGUGUGUAGGCGGUGCUGUAAGUCUGGUGUGAAAUCUCCCGGCUUAACUGGGAGGGUGCGGCGGAAACUGGAAUGCUAGAGGAUGGGAGAGGUAAGCGGAAUUCCUGGUGUAGCGGUGAAAUGCGUAGAUAUCAGGAGGAACACCUGUGGUGUAGACAGCUUACUGGACCAUUUCUGACGCUGAGACACGAAAGCGUGGGUAGCAAACAGG